rnacentral:lncRNA from 1 species
UAGAUAUUAACCCAUUGAGAAAUGUAAUCUAUGAGGAUCCAUUAUUGUGUGUGUUAAUUGCGUAUGUGUGUGUUGUGCUGUUGAAAAAUAGAAGAUGAUGGUGUGUGUAUAUUGUGUGAAAGUGUCUUCUAUAUUGUGUAAAGAGAUUGGAAAAUUCCUUGUGUAUGUGUAAUUGUAUGCAUAUAUAAGGUGAGGAAAUCGUGGGGUAGGGGGUGA